rnacentral:tRNA from 1 species
UGUGGCUCAGUGGUAGAGCACUUGCCUCGUAUGCUUGAGGCACUGGGUUCGAUUCUCAGUA